CCCGGAGCUACCGACGAUGAAUAUAUUUUCUCUAGGGGAAAGCGGACCUUUUUUCGCAAAUAAUUUUCAGUUGUUAUUGACAUAUUUCAGUGUCAAGCAUUCAAUUUUUAUAUCAGCUCCUUAACACUUAACUCGUUUGCUAUCAAUCAUCACAAUGUUUUCUGAUUCGAAGUUUAGAGCCUUAUGUUACCUACAAACAACUGUUUUUCAUGUUUGGAACUCCAAAACUGAUAUAUUUGCAGAAAAACUUGACCAGAAGUUUGGCAACUAUAUUUUCAAGAAUGACGUCGUCCCUUUGCCGUCAGUGCUACCAACCUUUUUGGGGCAAAAUGGUGAUAUACCUGAAGCCGCCACAGAUGUCAACAAAACCUCAAUUGGAACAGAGCCACAACACCACAACCAACAAAUAAAAUAGAAUUAAGUUGUUAAAUAGUUAGGUGUUCGAAGUUAUGUCCGUUUAACUCUAAACAUGUUUGCGGCCCAAUCACUUAAUUGUGCACUCUUGGCAGCAGUAUGGGCUCACAUUUUGAGCAGCUUCUCGCAGUCGGUAAAUUAACUUUUGCUCAGAACGGGCCCGGAUCUGUGCUUUAUAUCAAUAGACGGAUCCGGAAGGCCCCUGCCGCUAACUCGAAAAGCAAUUGACGACUUUUCCAACAGUCAAUCAAUCAGUCACAGGCCAUCUACGUUAACCGUUGGAAUCCAGGUACACGUCUUCAGAACGUUCCGACAACCAAGAUAGAAACUUCAAGAAGGCCAAAUGCGAGUUAUUUCGCCACGAAGCAGACUUAAAUCUCCUAAGUAUCCCACCCACUCUGGUGGACUACAAAAGGUUUGUGAGUGCAACGCAUGAUAAUGAUUACAUACCCUGGUGAUAAAUGGAAGGCCUUUGCGAGAAAUUGGGAGAGUCGAGGGCGCCGGAUUUAUCACAUAGAAUGCUACUCAACCGUGGAUAGAGAGAGACUGGAAAGGUGGACGAAAACAGUUAAAAACGGCGACUUUACACAUUCCAGUGGCCUGGGAUGGUCACAGCUGAGACGGCUGCGAGCAGCGGCCCCUCCUCCGGAGCGGACCUACUAAAUCAACCCAAACGAGAUCUGCAGGGUAUGAGUGGUGGUGUCCUGAUUGACAAAGAGUCUGCACGGCGGGUGGACACUGAGGUGAGAUAGCAUAUUGGUCAUUUGCCAUUGGAGUCUCGGGGAUGUUAAUUGUGCCUUAUCUCGUCUCAGACUCCGUAAGGCUCCGGCACUGGCAACAUCUUCCCUGAAUUUCCUAAAAACAUUAGCCCAAACGCAAGUACCAGGCUUCCUGAUUUCUACAAAGAAUUGUUGAACAGAGGAGAGAUUCCAAAAAUUCUUAGAAAACUGAAAGUCCUAGCCGUUAAGCCAGAUAAUACCGCUAGCUACAGACCUGUUGCUCUAUUAUUUAUAUGCUCUAAAUUACUCAAACGCCUAAUCGUUAACAGAAUAUCUGUAAAAGCAAAUAAAGUCCAGAUUGAACAAGGCGGUUUUAGAACGGAUAGAAAUUGCUGCUACCAGAUGUGGUCCCUGACUACCCAUAUUACCAGAAAUAGGAUUUCAGGAGGUCUCUAGAGCUGCACCUCAUUCAUUGACGUGUCGACUGCAUAUCACAUUGUUUGUAGAAAGGGCAUGACCUACAAACUACAGAAAGUCGUCAUUUGUUAUAGAAUACCCAAACUCCAAUCAUUUUUGGUUGCUGUAAGGAUGUGAAUGCUGGACCCUGGACCCUACAACUGAAAAGAAAAGUGAGGCGUUUGAAAUGUACUUAUAUAGCCGUAUGCUACGCGUCUCAUGGGUCCAACGAAUUACGAAUGAAGAAGAGCUUAGACGGAUGAAGCAGCCGAAAGAACUAAUGGCCCUCAUUAAAGAAAGAAAAACUACAUACAUAGGACACAUAACGAGAGGCAACAAGUAUGAACUGUUGAGACUGUGGAUUGCUAACCUUCGAAAGGAAAGCGUCAUAAGAAGAACAAGAAUCCAUGUUGAGCAACAGGAGAGUUGUGGUAGAAUUAAAUGGUAACACCAAGCCACCCAAGAACUAUUCAAUGCGGGAUCCCCCAAGGAUCUGUGCUGACCCUACUCUUAUUCAAUAAGGGACAUGCUGAGUACCAACUCACGGAUAUUCAUGUAUGCUAAUAAUCUAGCACUGCGCAUUCCACUUCGAGACCUGAAAUCGGUCGAGUCCGUCUUUUUUCCGACCUGUCGCCAAUCUGAGUUGAUGUUUACCAUAAAAAGUUGAGGUUAAAUGCCAAGCCGUCUUUCCGAAUUCGGUGCAUUCCAUCUCUCAAACAGAAAGGCAUCUCUGUUUGAACAACUGAAGGUUGAGUUUUCUGGAUCAAGGAUAACAGACAAUUCCAACUCAAAAUACCUUGGCGUAACCCUUGAUAGGUCUCUGUCCUUCAACAAACAAAAUUCUAGAGUUGCUCAAGAGGGAACAUAAUAUGCUUCGGAAAUUGGGGGUCUCCUUCUGUGGUGCCAAGACAAACCCACAGGCCGACGUAAUUCGUUUAGCGUCAUAAGUUGAGCUUAUAAUAUAUCUGGUAAAUUAAUAGAACGCUGGCUACAUGCCAUUACCUACAAUAGAAAAGUGUCAAGCAAAAUGUCGUGAAUUUUGACGAAUUAAUGACGUCGAAGCAAUUACCAUACAUUUAUGAGUGUAUGUAUAUGGAAAUCUGACCAUUUGCUGCAGCAAUAAUUCUGUUUCUGAGCAUUUGCACUGACCUUUCCAUUUGUACCAACGACCGGAGCUGAUUUUCUUAGACAAUAAAAAUUUCCUGGGAGUAUAAUUGGUUAUCGUAUCAGUUCAGUGAACAAUACCAAUAAAGCUUCGGGUCCGCACCGCUAACAAUGACUCGGUAAUUUGUAGUUUUUCUUGUUCCCCAAGAUAAGAAAGCAGGAAAGACAACACAUUCCGUUAUCGGAGACAAGAACAUGUGUUCAUCUCAGCAUUGAACACAAUAGAACUGCUGGCUAAGGUAUUAUCUGAGAUUGCAUUGGUUUCUGCACAAUUGGUAAGUAAUUAAAUCCUUAUCAAAUAAUGCGCUUAUUUU